UACGUAGGGAGCAAGCGUUAUCCGGAUUUAUUGGGUGUAAAGGGUGCGUAGACGGGAUUACAAGUUGGUUGUGAAACCCCUCAGCUCAACUGAGGAACUGCAACCAAAACUAUAAUUCUUGAGUGCAGGAGAGGGAAGUGGAAUUCCUAGUGUAGCGGUGAAAUGCGUAGAUAUUAGGAAGAACACCGGUGGCGAAGGCGACUUUCUGGACUGUAACUGACGUUGAGGCACGAAAGUGUGGGGAGCAAACAGG
rnacentral:rRNA from 1 species